AGAGUUUGAUCAUGGCUCAGAACGUACGCUGGCGGCACGCCUAACACAUGCAAGUCGAACGCAGUAGCAAUACUGAGUGGCAAACGGGUGAGUAUAAUGUGGGAAUCUGCCUUUUGGUUUGGAAUAACACGGGGAAACUUGUGCUAAUACCGAAUAAGCCCUUACGGGGAAAGUUUUAAUGCCGAAAGAUGAGCCUGCACUUGAUUAGCUAGUUGGUAAGGUAAAAGCUUACCAAGGCAACGAUCAAUAGCUGUUCUUAGAGGAAGACCAGCCACAUUGGGACUGAGACACGGCCCAGACUCCUACGGGAGGCAGCAGUGGGGAAUCUUGCACAAUGGGGGAAACCCUGAUGCAGCGAUGCCGCGUGAGUGAAGAAGGCCCUUGGGUUGUAAAGCUCUUUCGUCGGGGAAGAAAAUGACUGUACCCGAAUAAGAAGGUCCGGCUAACUUCGUGCCAGCAGCCGCGGUAAUACGAAGGGACCUAGCGUAGUUCGGAAUUACUGGGCUUAAAGAGCUCGUAGGUGGUUAAAAAAGUUGAUGGUGAAAUCCCAAGGCUCAACCUUGGAACUGCCAUCAAAACUUUUUAGCUAGAGUGUGAUAGAGGUAAGUGGAAUUUCUAGUGUAGAGGUGAAAUUCGUAGAUAUUAGAAAGAACACCAAAUGCGAAGGCAACUUACUGGGUCACUACUGACACUGAGGAGCGAAAGCAUGGGUAGCGAAGAGGAUUAGAUACCCUCGUAGUCCAUGCCGUAAACGAUGUGUGUUAGACGUUGGAAAUUUAUUUUCAGUGUCGCAGCGAAAGCGAUAAACACACCGCCUGGGGAGUACGACCGCAAGGUUAAAACUCAAAUGAAUUGACGGGGACCCGCACAAGUAGUGGAGCAUGUGGUUUAAUUCGAAGAUACGCGCAGAACCUUACCAACACUUGACAUGUUCGUCGCGACUCUAAGAGAUUAGAGUUUUCGGUUCGGCCGGACGAAACACAGGUGCUGCAUGGCUGUCGUCAGCUCGUGUCGUGAGAUGUUGGGUUAAGUCCCGCAACGAGCGCAACCCUCACUUUUAGUUGCCAUCAUUAAGUUGGGCACUCUGAAAGAACUGCCAGUGAUAAGCUGGAGGAAGGUGGGGAUGACGUCAAGUCCUCAUGGCCCUUACGUGUUGGGCUACACACGUGCUACAAUGGUAUCUACAACAGGAAGCAAGACUGCGAGGUCAAGCAAAUCCCUAAAAGAUACCUCAGUUCGGAUUGCACUCUGCAACUCGAGUGCAUGAAGCUGGAAUUACUAGUAAUCGCGGAUCAGCGCGCCGCGGUGAAUACGUUCCCGGGUCUUGUACACACCGCCCGUCACACCAUGGGAGUUGGUUCUACCUUAAGGCAAGGUUUUAAACCCUUGACCACGGUAUAGUCAGCGACUGGGGUGAAGUCGUAACAAGGUAGCCGUAGGGGAACCUGCGGCUG
rnacentral:rRNA from 1 species